CGUUCCCUGGGGUGUUGGCCAGUCGUUAUCGUCCCUCGGCCUGAAGGCAAUACCCAGGGCGGCCAGCGGCUAGCCGGACCCGAUAUGCAUGUCAGUGCGACGGAAAGCCUGACGGUUCGGCUGCGGCCACCCACCUUGAACCAAGGGUUCAAGGGCCACAACAGCGGCACUCUGGGGAACCU
rnacentral:other from 1 species